rnacentral:rRNA from 1 species
UGGGGAAUCUUGCGCAAUGGCCGAAAGGCUGACGCAGCGACGCCGCGUGGGGGAUGACGGCCUUCGGGUUGUAAACCUCUUUCAGCAUCGACGAAGCGCAAGUGACGGUAGAUGCAGAAGAAGCACCGGCCAACUACGUGCCAGCAGCCGCGGUAAUACGUAGGGUGCGAGCGUUGUCCGGAAUUACUGGGCGUAAAGAGCUCGUAGGUGGUUUGUCGCGUUGUUCGUGAAAUGCCACAGCUUAACUGUGGGCGUGCGGGCGAUACGGGCAGACUGGAGUACUGCAGGGGAGACUGGAAUUCCUGGUGUAGCGGUGGAAUGCGCAGAUAUCAGGAGGAACACCGGUGGCGAAGGCGGGUCUCUGGGCAGUAACUGACGCUGAGGAGCGAAAGCGUGGGGAGCGAACAGGAUUAGAUACCCUGGUAGUCCACGCCGUAAACGGUGGGUACUAGGUGUGGGUUUCCUUCUUGGGAUCCGUGCCGUAGCUAACGCAUUAAGUACCCCG